UACGUAGGGUGCGAGCGUUGUCCGGAAUUACUGGGCGUAAAGAGCUCGUAGGUGGUUUGUCGCGUUGUUCGUGAAAACCGGGGGCUUAACCCUCGGCGUGCGGGCGAUACGGGCAGACUUGAGUACUGCAGGGGAGACUGGAAUUCCUGGUGUAGCGGUGAAAUGCGCAGAUAUCAGGAGGAACACCGGUGGCGAAGGCGGGUCUCUGGGCCGAUACUGACGCUGAGGAGCGAAAGCGUGGGGAGCAAACAGG
rnacentral:rRNA from 1 species